AAAACCCACAGGAAAAUCUCGAGGGAACCCAUGGCGAAUAAGACUUCCAUGUUCACCUACAAAUUGACAUAACGCAGUAGCGUUCCUAGCUUGUAUGGCGCCCUGGGUGAAACCCGCUUCAGCAUGCCUUUUAAUGGGUUCCCAUUUCAUUGUAGCUAUGUCACCCUUAUCGUGUUGUAUAUUUAUAUGGUUUAAAAGCCAUUUUGUCUCAAACAAUGUGUCUAUGGCCUUCACAGUAUAUAUUUUGACCUUAAACAUCCGGAUAUCACCAUGAUGCAUUGUACAUAGUAUUAUUUUAUUGUAAUUGGAUAAAGAAAUGUUUAGCUUACCAAAUUAAUAUGUCAUAAACAAGCUAAUUAAAUACAAAAAGAAAAAAAAAAAAAAAAAAAAAGCACAAUCUUAUUUGGUCCAGCAGAUGGCGUUAUAAAUGAGCGAAUAAAGGCCAGUCAUGUAAAGCAGUGUAAUAUUCUAGCAUCAUUUUGAGUUUAGUUUUAGUUAUGCAGCCUUUGAUGAACAGGUACAGUAUAAGUCAUUAUUUGUAUUCACUAUUUCAGCAUUUAUCUUUCAGAUGUAAAAAAGAAAAAGACAAGAAAAAAGAAAUAAAAUCCUAGAGUUUCUUGGACAUUUGCGAACUCUACCAUAAUAGAAGUGAGCGGCUUUCUGCCAAGGGUCGUGUGUCCACUGGAGCACUGCAGGUUGCUGUUUGUCUGUGAGGGCUGUGGGCAGUCUCUUUUGUUCCUUGGAAUUCGAAAUGGAGAAAGUAAAGCUGGGGAGGGAGGAGAGAGCGUUGGCUGGGUGUGGAGGAGAAAGAAAGGAAAAGACAAAAGAGGGCUUUGAAAAGGGCCCUUUUUCUCUGCAAUAAACUUUGCCAACCACUAGAUGAUUUGCAGUCAACAGAGUACAAAUACUGCUUGGGACAGCAAACAAACCUGAAAUAAAAAAGAGAGAGAUAACGAGUAGUCAAACAUUAGAGAUUACAAGUAGAAUACCAUUUAAGUUUCUAGGCAUUUCUGAAGGUGCUAUACUAAUAAUUAAUAUCAACCUACAAUAUGUAAUCUGCAAAUGAAACUCUCUGAGGAAAACAUAUUUUGGUUAAUGUCUUAAGACUCAAGCUUGUCUGCAGUUGAUGUUAUGAGUCUGUGACAAGAAGUCUCAGAUUGCACGACCAUAGGUCGUGUAGUGUGUGCACUUUAGUGACUUGCCCAGACUAGUCCAAGACACAACGACGGACUUCACACCUGCUUGAAAUCUGGCGGAUGAGUCGUCAGGGGUGCGCACUGUUCUGAUAAGCAAGAGGCCGAUAAUGAGCAAAAGCCAAUGAAAUACAGAAAGAGAGCAAGAAGAGAGCAAUGCAUUAAGAAACAGUAGACAAAUAAUAAUAAUAAUAAUAAUAAUAAUAAUAAAAGCAUCACCCACAUCACCCUUCCUGCUGUCUCAUCAUUAUUUUCAGCUGUUUUUUUCUUUCUGUGCAAAUCGGUGCAAUAAGCAAGCCUUUCUAUGAUAUUGUUUGUUAACAUGUUAUCACAAAUAAAAUCUCC